rnacentral:rRNA from 1 species
GACAGAGGUGCCGAGCGUUAGGCGGAAUCACUGGGCUUAAAGCGUGUGUAGGCGGACUUCUAAGUACCUUGUGAAAUCCCACGGCUUAACCGUGGAACUGCUUGGUAUACUGGUUGUCUUGGGCCAUCUAGGGGCUACUGGAACAAACGGUGGAGCGGUGAAAUGCGUAGAUAUCUGGAGGAAUACCGGUGGCGAAGGCGGCUGCCUGGACCAGUCCUGACGCUGAGGCGCGAAAGCUAGGGGAGCAAACAGG